GUGAGGAAUAUUGGUCAAUGGGCGGGAGCCUGAACCAGCCAAGUCGCGUGAAGGAAGAAGGAUCUAUGGUUCGUAAACUUCUUUUGCAGGGGAAUAAAAUGCGGGACGUGUCCUGUUUUGUAUGUACCCUGAGAAUAAGGAUCGGCUAACUCCGUGCCAGCAGCCGCGGUAAUACGGAGGAUCCGAGCGUUAUCCGGAUUUAUUGGGUUUAAAGGGUGCGUAGGUGGUUUGAUAAGUCAGCGGUGAAAGUUUGCAGCUUAACUGUAAAAAUGCCGUUGAAACUGUCGGACUUGAGUGUAAAUGAGGUAGGCGGAAUGCGUGGUGUAGCGGUGAAAUGCAUAGAUAUCACGCAGAACUCCGAUUGCGAAGGCAGCUUACUAAGCUACAACUGACACUGAAGCACGAAAGCGUGGGUAUCAAACAGGAUUAGAAACCCGUGUAGUCC
rnacentral:rRNA from 1 species